rnacentral:lncRNA from 1 species
UUUCUCUUUUCUUUUAAAAUUUCUAUCAAUUUAGUCUAAGUUUUCCAUAAAUUCAUAAAAAAAAAGUUUCUAUUAUUAUAGACUAAAAAUAUUCUUAAUUCAUUCUUAAAUUUAGUUUAUUUAUUUCAUUUUAUUAUUUUGUAUGUCCUUUUACUUUUGUACUCGUUAAUUAAGAUUUAGAUAUUUUAUAUCCCCUUUUAAA